UCUACUACAGGGCUCAUCUACAUGCCAUGCUAAAGUGUAGUAGCGGUUAUCAGUUUAAUACCUGAUAUGUUCUCUGAGAACUUUAUAUUAAAUGGAUCUUUGAAGCAGGGGCUCAGAACAGGAGCUUGCUCUGUCCACUCUGCGCAUCCACCUGUAGUGCUGAGUUAAUGCACAGCAAGCCAGGUUAUCAGU
rfam:Pelodiscus sinensis unplaced genomic scaffold scaffold189, whole genome shotgun sequence.